rnacentral:lncRNA from 1 species
AACAAUAUGUUUGCGGAUUAAAUAUAUGUGUACCAGGUCAAUUAACUUUUUAAUUUAUUAAAUAAAUUUAUGGGUAUUUUCAUUUAAAUCAUGACAAAAAAAAAUUAAAAGCCCAUUUUAAACCAUGAAAAAUUAUCUUGUGUAAGGAAAGUUCUAUAAAUCAAACUAAACUAUGAGAACUUUUGUGGACGACAAUUUUUAAAAUGUGUUUAAAUUUUUUUUUAACUAAGAAAAACAUAUUUGGGUGUGUAUUUCGGUUUAAUUACGGAUUCGGUUUGGGUUAUGUUUGGCUUGAUUUAUUUGGGUGUAAGAAAUCUUGAACCAAAGCCAACCCAAAUUAGUUUGGUUUAUGUUCGGUUUGGUUCGGUAUAGUUUAUGUUCGAUUCGGUUUUAGUUUGGUUUGGUUUGUGUUUAAUUCGGUUUAAUUUGGUUUUGUUUGUGUUUUCAGUUCAACCGAGUUAACUUUUUUAGUUUUGUUCUAGUUCAAUUACAAAAAUA